rfam:Hordeum vulgare subsp. vulgare, WGS project CAJW01000000 data, contig: morex_contig_211760
AUGGUACUCCCUCCGUGCAGAAUUACUUGUCGCUCAAAUGGAUGUAUCUAGAGGUAUUUUAGUGCUAGAUACAUCCAUUUGAGCGACACGUAAUUUCAGAUGGAGGGAGUACAUG